rnacentral:rRNA from 1 species
UACAGAGGGGGCAAGCGUUGCUCGGAAUCACUGGGCGUAAAGGGCGCGUAGGCGGGCUGGCAAGUCGGUCGUGAAAUCCUUCGGCUCAACCGAAGAACGUCGGCCGAUACUGCCGUUCUUGAGGGAUGCAGAGGAGAUUGGAAUUCCCGGUGUAGCGGUGAAAUGUGUAGAGAUCGGGAGGAACACCGGUGGCGAAGGCGGGUCUCUGGGCAUCUCCUGACGCUGAGGCGCGAAAGCGUGGGGAGCAAACGGG